rnacentral:rRNA from 1 species
GAUGAACGCUGGCGGCGUGCCUAAUACAUGCAAGUCGAGCGAACAGAUGAGAAGCUUGCUUCUCUGAUGUUAGCGGCGGACGGGUGAGUAACACGUGGGUAACCUACCUAUAAGACUGGGAUAACUCCGGGAAACCGGGGCUAAUACCGGAUAAUAUUUUGAACCGCAUGGUUCAAUAGUGAAAGACGGUUUCGGCUGUCACUUAUAGAUGGACCCGCGCCGUAUUAGCUAGUUGGUAAGGUAACGGCUUACCAAGGCGAAGAUACGUAGCCGACCUGAGAGGGUGAUCGGCCACACUGGAACUGAGACACGGUCCAGACUCCUAUGGGAGGCAGCAGUAGGGAAUCUUCCGCAAUGGGCGAAAGCCUGACGGAGCAACGCCGCGUGAGUGAUGAAGGUCUUCGGAUCGUAAAACUCUGUUGUUAGGGAAGAACAAAUUUGUUAGUAACUGAACAAGUCUUGACGGUACCUAACCAGAAAGCCACGGCUAACUACGUGCCAGCAGCCGCCGUAA